ACACCCUUAAGCUCUGCUUGGUGUUGGGCGUCUGUCCCGCCUCUGCGCGCGGACUCGCCCCAAAGGCAUUGGCAGCGGUCCACGGCCCCUCUCGCGCAGCAUAUUGCGCUUCUCGAGGCGGUCCGGCCCGCGUCCACGAAGCCCACAUUACCGU
rnacentral:misc_RNA from 1 species